rnacentral:lncRNA from 1 species
GUUUUCAGAGGUCUGAAUAAGGGUCUAGGACACCCCAAGAAUGCAGGAUUUUGCACCAUUUUAAAAAAAAAUCCUGGGGCCCUUGAGCGGGCCCCAGACCCCCCGCCGUAGUAGCGACGAGCAAGCUCGUCGACGCGAACGGCUUCGCCGUCCGCAUGUACUUGCCGCCUAUUUUAGAAAUUCAGCCUGCUUCUUCAAAACUUAGUGACAUCACUGAUUACAUGUAAUUCCUAAUUUCACCUAUUUACAUAGAUGCCAACCCCCUUUUGACACAAUCAGUAACAAACUAUCAAAUUUUCCGUAUUUUUGGAAAGUUUUCAGUAAUCAUUCAUAAACGUGCAUUUACCAAUAAAAAUUACUGACGAGUGGUUGCAAAGUGAUGUACACUAAAAUUUGUCAUUUAACAUGUUGUCUGUAGUAUGUAUUCCAUUCAUUGAUUGUUCAGAUGUUCUCGACUCAAACAUUUUUGUUUUGUCAAGGAGAAGUAGAGAAAGGGGGAAAGCUACUUAAUAAAAUGCAAGUUUGCCUCUUCGGAAGUCAGUUAGUUACCCAACAAUAGGUUGAUAACUCCCGAGAAACUGGAAGCAUUACAUUGGCGUUUCCUAAAUACUGGACCAGGACGGAAAAGUAAUGAUAAAAAUCCGCGUUUUACAAAAUUGAACGUCGAUGAUUGGGAAUCCGUAACUAUUCGACUUUGACCGUAAUAGCGUAGUUUUUAUCGCAAAAUCGGAAAAACUACGGAAAAAUCGUAAUGGUUGGCAUCUAUGUAUUUACUGUA